CCGGGUCUUUAACGGAACCGAAAACAGUAACAGGUUUAAACUGAAGAGUUUGAUCCUGGCUCAGAUUGAACGCUGGCGGCAUGCCUUACACAUGCAAGUCGAACGGCAGCACGGGUGCUUGCACCUGGUGGCGAGUGGCGAACGGGUGAGUAAUACAUCGGAACCUACCCUUGAGAUUGGGAUAACUACCGGAAAUGGUAGCUAAUACCGGAUACGACCUUUCCACAUAAGUGGAAUUGUUAAAAGGCGGAUUUAUCUGCCGCUCAUGGAUGGGCCUGCGGUGCAUUAGCUAGUUGGUGAGAUAGUAGCUCACCAAGGCGACGAUGCAUAGCCGACCUGAGAGGGUGAUCGGCCACACUGGGACUGAGACACGGCCCAGACUCCGUACGGGAGGCAGCAGUAGGGAAUCUUCCGCAAUGGACGAAAGUCUGACGGAGCAACGCCGCGUGAGUGAUGAAGGGUUUCGGCUCGUAAAACUCUGUUGUUAAGGAAGAAUACUUGAGGUAGUAACUGGCCUUGAGAUGACGGUACUUAACCAGA
rnacentral:rRNA from 1 species